rnacentral:rRNA from 1 species
CAACGCGAAAACCUUACCUACCCUUGACAUGUCCGGAAUCCCGAAGAGAUUUGGGAGUGCUCGCAAGAGAACCGGAACACAGGUGCUGCAUGGCUGUCGUCAGCUCGUGUCGUGAGAUGUUGGGUUAAGUCCCGCAACGAGCGCAACCCUUGUCAUUAGUUGCCAUCAUUUGGUUGGGCACUCUAAUGAGACUGCCGGUGACAAACCGGAGGAAGGUGGGGAUGACGUCAAGUCCUCAUGGCCCUUAUGGGUAGGGCUUCACACGUCAUACAAUGGUCGGUACAGAGGGUUGCCAACCCGCGAGGGGGAGCUAAUCCCACAAAGCCGAUCGUAGUCCGGAUCGCAGUCUGCAACUCGACUGCGUGAAGCCGGAAUCGCUAGUAAUCGUGGAUCAGCAUGUCACGGUGAAUACGUUCCCGGGUCUU